rnacentral:lncRNA from 1 species
CCUGCUCUUAGUCUAUAAUUUGCCUGAUCCAAGAGCCAUUAUGACCCUAGCAAACAUGGGUGUGUGCCUGGGCCUUCAGCCACUCCCUCUUCUGCUGGGGACUGCUCUAGUGUCUCUGCUGGCCUGAAAACCACACCAAGCCUGUGGGGCUUGGCUGUAACUCUGGUCCUCAGGGGAAAACGGAAAUGAAAAGAGAAAAUAAAACACCAGGGGCUCGAGAGAAAUCACUUUUUUUAUAGUGAAGCAUAGAGAAACAUCUCUGAAAGGGCAAUUCUCCGUGGCCACUAACAAUCAAUUCAGGUCAAGAAGCUGCCUGAAGCAUUACAAACACGGCUGCCUUUUCCUAUGUAACUAACACCUCUACCCUCAACCUGAAUGGUACAACCCUGGUGCCUACUUCAUUUUCAUGACAGCAAAAGGCAAUAACCAGAUACCAGCUGCUGGAGGCAUUUGUAUACAAAAGCCAAAAAAGACACUGUGACUUCCCAUCAGCUUGACAGAGCUCCUCUGCCAGGCAGGGGUUUAAAGGAAAUCAUUUGGAGCUCAGAAAAUUAAAUCAACAUUAUAUCAACCUAAUUUUCUCAAGAUGCUAAUUCCAAGAGCCCUUUUGUGCUGCCUGCUGGUACUGGAGAAUGGGAAGGGAGACCUGGGAGUGAAAAAUGAGUAAUGGCUGGAGGGGCUACAUGCCAGUUUUGCCAGCAAGGAGGAAGCAGUUAGGGUUAGUGGCUCGGAUUCCAGGACUGAAGCCCUGAAGACAACUGCUUCACUCCUGGGACCACAGAAGCACUGUGGGACCCUAUCUGAGGAGCUCAAAGCAAAGUAUCUCCAUCACACAGUCAGAAUACUCUCCUAGCAUUGAACAAAUGGC